rnacentral:rRNA from 1 species
GACGAACGCUGGCGGCGUGCUUAACACAUGCAAGUCGAACGGAAAGGCCCUGCUUUUGUGGGGUGCUCGAGUGGCGAACGGGUGAGUAACACGUGAGUAACCUGCCCUUGACUUUGGGAUAACUUCAGGAAACUGGGGCUAAUACCGGAUAGGAGCUCCUGCUGCAAGGUGGGGGUUGGAAAGUUUCGGCGGUUGGGGAUGGACUCGCGGCUUAUCAGCUUGUUGGUGGGGUAGUGGCUUACCAAGGCUUUGACGGGUAGCCGGCCUGAGAGGGUGACCGGCCACAUUGGGACUGAGAUACGGCCCAGACUCCUACGGGAGGCAGCAGUGGGGAAUAUUGCACAAUGGGCGGAAGACUGAUGCAGCAACGCCGCGUGCGGGAUGACGGCCUUCGGGUUGUAAACCGCUUUCGCCUGUGACGAAGCGUGAGUGACGGUAAUGGGUAAAGAAGCACCGGCUAACUACGUG